UACGUAGGGCGCAAGCGUUAUCCGGAAUUAUUGGGCGUAAAGAGCUUGUAGGCGGUCUGUCGCGUCUGCUGUGAAAAUCCGGGGCUCAACUCCGGUUCUGCAGUGGGUACGGGCAGACUAGAGUGCAGUAGGGGAGACUGGAAUUCCUGGUGUAGCGGUGAAAUGCGCAGAUAUCAGGAGGAACACCGAUGGCGAAGGCAGGUCUCUGGGCUGUAACUGACGCUGAGGAGCGAAAGCAUGGGGAGCGAACAGG
rnacentral:rRNA from 1 species